GGAAUGACCUUAAGUGUUUUGUUUUAGUUUCAGAAGCUCAUUAUGAACUGACAGUCUUGCAUUUCAAUGAACUUGGAGCAAAAAUGUUUAAACCCCAAAGCCAACACAAAAAGUUGAUUCCAACGAAACAGAACCCAAAAACCAACUGUCGAAGUCAAACACGACCUUGCCGGCAACCUCGAAACCUGCUGGAAAACUCGAAUCUCGACUAGUGAGGAACAACCUCGCCUCCGACAGUACCUCAAUCGUGAUUUCAAAACAGAUUGAAUGGACGAUAUCUGUAACAAAGCAAGCGAAGCUUGAAACCAGAUUCACGUGCCUCUCAUGCUCACAAAAACUCAACGAGUUCUGUGCGUAUCUGUGGCUGUGUGUUAAGUAUUUCCCGGCGAGGGGGAGAUGAGUGAUAGCUGCUUUGUAUUGGUGUGGAAGGUCGUUCUUCUGUUCCUAUUUUGGAGUUUUUGUUUGUUGUUUUCCAUUUGUGUUGAAGGUGAUGAUAGGAGGAGGGGGUCGUUUUAUUUUCUGAAAAAUGGCGCUAGUGUUAUGUGUAUAUAGGUCUGAUUUUUGUGUUAUUUUCGACUGAAGCCGAUGAAAUCAAGGGGUGGGUUUUGGGUAUAUGGCUGCUGAAAAAUUAUAUCCUAUAAGUCUUCAUGAAGAAGACGAUCCCUCAAUGUUCAGGGAAGUCCAAAAACGGCGUUGAUUUUUUCCCCAUUUCU
rnacentral:lncRNA from 1 species